rnacentral:rRNA from 1 species
CCCUUAGACGUUCGGGGCCGCACGCGCGCUACACUGACCAGUGCAACAAGCAUCCGUCCUUGGCCGACAGGCUCGGGCAAUCUUUGAACGCUGGUCGUGAUGGGGAUAGACUUUUGCAAUUUUUGGUCUUCAACGAGGAAUUCCUAGUAAACGCAAGUCAUCAACUUGCAUUGAUUACGUCCCUGCCCUUUGUACACACCGCCCGUCGCACCUACCGAUUGAAUGGUCCGGUGAAGCCUCCGGAUUGGCGCGCACCUCGGUGCCGCCGAGAAGUUGGCUAAACCUUACCAUUUAGAGGAAGGUGAAGUCGUAACA